GGAUGAGCGGAGCAUGCAGGAGCUGGUCACAGACAGCUUCUUUGAAGCACUGAUAUGUGAAUUCAGACCUGAACAUGAAGAAGGAGCAGGACCCGGGAGAGACCAGCAAAUUCACAAGAUUCUAUGGGACUGACCCUCUGACAGUGCUGUUUGUUCCCAGAGCAUGGGAUGGGCCUCCUCCCACUCUCCCUGAGUCUCAGCUUGGGUCUUCUUGGUGGCUUAUGAAGCGAACGCGCUGCUCCAGACUAAAACUGGGAGUUUCAUCUUCAAUCAAGCUGGAAGACCCAAGACUGUUAUUUUGUUUGGUAUUUGGUCAAAGCAAAUUAGUUAAGUAAAUUUUGUCUGCUUCCAGCCUACGUUUAAUUGGUAAAUUUGAACUUUUUAAAUGCAGUGUGUAUUUGUAUUGUCUCUUUGAAGAGUAAACUAUUGUAAAUCUGUAAAUGAUCUUACUUCCUGAACUCUAUUUUUGUUUCUCAAAGCAUUUAAUGAUGAUUAAGGACUUC
rnacentral:lncRNA from 10 species